AUUGAACGCUGGCGGCAUGCCUUACACAUGCAAGUCGAACGGUAACGCGGGGCAACCUGGCGACGAGUGGCGAACGGGUGAGUAAUGCAUCGGAACGUACCCAGUAGUGGGGGAUAGCCCGGCGAAAGCCGGAUUAAUACCGCAUACGACCUAAGGGUGAAAGCGGGGGACCGUAAGGCCUCGCGUUAUUGGAGCGGCCGAUGUCAGAUUAGGUAGUUGGUGGGGUAAAGGCCUACCAAGCCUUCGAUCUGUAGCUGGUCUGAGAGGACGACCAGCCACACUGGGACUGAGACACGGCCCAGACUCCUACGGGAGGCAGCAGUGGGGAAUUUUGGACAAUGGGCGAAAGCCUGAUCCAGCCAUGCCGCGUGCGGGAAGAAGGCCUCGGUUGUAACCGCUUUGUCAGGGAAGAACGACUCUGGGCGUAAUACCCU
rnacentral:rRNA from 1 species